GCAGCCUGAGAAUUUGGUCUGGAACAAAGUGCACACAUGCACAGAGUGAAUUCUGGCCAGCUCCAUUGAUCAGUGUGUGAUGAGGAGUGGGGGAGGAAGACACAGAUCAGGAGAUACUAUUACAGUACCGGGGACCAGGAACAGCCAUCCAUGCCUUUGUCACUGCAGGCUAUUGAUACAUACUAUUAAAAACUACAUAAGACAACCCAGCUGGAAAUCAGAGCUGAAGAAUAAUAAACCAGCUUGAGUACCUGUUGUAACUGAACCCCACGAGAUACUCCAAAUGUGAAUGUACUGUAGCAAAAGUGUACUGGUUCGUUGCUUGAACAAACCAAGGCCCUUUUUCUACCUGCUCGAGAGGACUCCUGAAUCUACCAGCCACGUGAGGGCAGCAAAGAACCAAGCUCUAAGAGGGUUGCAUGAGCCAUUGCAACAACUAAACAGCUCUUCUUAGAUGAGAUAACAAUUCUCAAGAAAGGAAUACUCGAUGCUUCUGAAGAAACUGUCCCUGAAUGAGGACUGCUAGAAAACUCCCACUGUACAGACCUGCUUGAACAUCACACAGCCUUACAGUGAGUCCGGGAAGAUGA